GAUGAAGAACGCAGCGAAAUGCGAUAAGUAGUGUGAAUUGCAGAAUUCAGUGAAUCAUCGAAUCUUUGAACGCACAUUGCGCCCCUUGGUAUUCCAUGGGGCAUGCCUGUUCGAGCGUCAUUUGUACCUUCAAGCUUUGCUUGGUGUUGGGUGUUUGUCCUGAGGGACUCGCCUUAAAGUAAUUGGCAGCCAGUGUUUUGGUUUUGAAGCGCAGCACAAGUCGCGAUUCAAGGCUACACGCCAGCUUCCACAAGCCUUUUUCACUUUUGACCUCGGAUCAGGUAGGGAUACCCGCUGAACUUAAGCAUAUCAAUAAGCGGAGGA
rnacentral:misc_RNA from 1 species